AGGGCAUGUUCAAAAGGACACAAUGCAAGAUCCUUCUUUGGUGCAGUAGUAUAUGAAACCACAAGAGGGAUUCAAACUUACCACUGUCGGAGAAGACUAACAAGAAAGGAAGCAACGGCCUACCGCAUGCUGUGGUCUGCUCACUGAUCUCAUGGCGCAAGGUGAGGAGAGUUCAUGGUGGAGGACAAGUGAUCAUGGUAGAGCUCCACCACUUGCAUGUGGAAUCCAAAGCCAUGCUCCUGCUGCGCGACCUGCCAACUUCUUGGAGUUGCAACCUUCAGCUACUGCUUACUUUGGUGAGUUGGAGGCCCUUAUCCAUGGCACUUGUACUUCUGUUGAUCCUAC